GAAGAAUUGAAGUAAGGACUGUUUGACUGCAUGGAUAGAAUGUUGUCAUCUGUGGAGAGGCUAGCUGUAGACAUCCAAUUGGAUUUGUUUGAUAAUGCACGAGGGGAUUUUCGAUCUCGAGUGACUAUUGACUCCAGAAUGUUGAGAAGCCCAGCUGAUUGGUGGAAGCGUUUUGGGACAAAGACCCUGGAAUUGAUGAAGCUUGCUGUGUUCUUUGCCUGACAUGUAGUGCUAGUGGAUGUGAGAGGAAUUGGAGCACAUUUGAGCAGGACCUCCGUGUGAUCGAACUUAACAAACUCGAGGUUGGGUUUGUUGGCAUAGUAUUUUUGGUGAGAGGGUAUAACUUUGGAUAUAUUUUUGGGCUGUAAUAUAUUUAUGAUUUCUCAGUUGUAUAUUUGUGAAUACUGGAUGUUGGAGAAUAUUACUUUUUGGGAUAUAUAUAUAUAUAUAUAGAACUCUUGUAUAUUA